rnacentral:rRNA from 1 species
CUUGAUGAACGCUAGCUACAGGCUUAACACAUGCAAGUCGAGGGGCAGCAUCAUCAAAGCUUGCUUUGAUGGAUGGCGACCGGCGCACGGGUGAGUAACACGUAUCCAACCUGCCGACAACACUGGGAUAGCCUUUCGAAAGAAAGAUUAAUACCGGAUGGCAUAGUUUUUCCGCAUGGGAUAAUUAUUAAAGAAUUUCGGUUGUCGAUGGGGAUGCGUUCCAUUAGGCAGUUGGCGGGGUAACGGCCCACCAAACCAACGAUGGAUAGGGGUUCUGAGAGGAAGGUCCCCCACAUUGGAACUGAGACACGGUCCAAACUCCUACGGGAGGCAGCAGUGAGGAAUAUUGGUCAAUGGACGAGAGUCUGAACCAGCCAAGUAGCGUGAAGGAUGACUGCCCUAUGGGUUGUAAACUUCUUUUAUACGGGAAUAAAGUUAGCCACGUGUGGCUUUUUGUAUGUACCGUAUGAAUAAGGAUCGGCUAACUCCGUGCCAGCAGCCGCGGUAAUACGGAGGAUCCGAGCGUUAUCCGGAUUUAUUGGGUUUAAAGGGAGCGUAGGCGGGUUGUUAAGUCAGUUGUGAAAGUUUGCGGCUCAACCGUAAAAUUGCAGUUGAUACUGGCGACCUUGAGUGCAACAGAGGUAGGCGGAAUUCGUGGUGUAGCGGUGAAAUGCUUAGAUAUCACGAAGAACUCCGAUUGCGAAGGCAGCUUACUGGAUUGUAACUGACGCUGAUGCUCGAAAGUGUGGGUAUCAAACAGGAUUAGAUACCCUGGUAGUCCACACAGUAAACGAUGAAUACUCGCUGUUGGCGAUAUACGGUCAGCGGCCAAGCGAAAGCAUUAAGUAUUCCACCUGGGGAGUACGCCGGCAACGGUGAAACUCAAAGGAAUUGACGGGGGCCCGCACAAGCGGAGGAACAUGUGGUUUAAUUCGAUGAUACGCGAGGAACCUUACCCGGGCUUAAAUUGCAACUGACGGAACCGGAAACGGUUCUUUCUUCGGACAGUUGUGAAGGUGCUGCAUGGUUGUCGUCAGCUCGUGCCGUGAGGUGUCGGCUUAAGUGCCAUAACGAGCGCAACCCUUACGGGUAGUUACCAUCAGGUUAUGCUGGGGACUCUACCCGGACUGCCGUCGUAAGAUGUGAGGAAGGUGGGGAUGACGUCAAAUCAGCACGGCCCUUACGUCCGGGGCUACACACGUGUUACAAUGGGGGGUACAGAAGGCAGCUACACGGCGACGUGGUGCUAAUCCCGAAAGCCUCUCUCAGUUCGGAUUGGAGUCUGCAACCCGACUCCAUGAAGCUGGAUUCGCUAGUAAUCGCGCAUCAGCCACGGCGCGGUGAAUACGUUCCCGGGCCUUGUACACACCGCCCGUCAAGCCAUGAAAGCCGGGGGUACCUGAAGUACGUAACCGCGAGGAGCGUCCUAGGGUAAAACU